UAUUUCUGUUACCAUGAAUGUGC
rnacentral:piRNA from 1 species